GCACCAGUGGGGAAUUUUGGACAAUGGGGGCAACCCUGAUCCAGCAAUGCCGCGUGAGUGAAGAAGGCCUUCGGGUUGUAAAGCUCUUUUGUCAGGGAAGAAACACCGGCUCUAACACAGUCCGGGAAUGACGGUACCUGAAGAAUAAGCACCGGCUAACUACGUGCCAGCAGCCGCGGUAAUACGUAGGGUGCGAGCGUUAAUCGGAAUUACUGGGCGUAAAGCGUGCGCAGGCGGUUAUACAAGACAGGCGUGAAAUCCCCGGGCUUAACCUGGGAAUGGCGCCUGUGACUGUAUAGCUAGAGUGUGUCAGAGGGGGGUAGAAUUCCACGUGUAGCAGUGAAAUGCGUAGAUAUGUGGAGGAAUACCAAUGGCGAAGGCAGCCCCCUGGGAUAACACUGACGCUCAUGCACGAAAGCGUGGGGAGCAAACAGGAUUAGAUACCCCUGUAGUCC
rnacentral:rRNA from 1 species